CAGGCUGGGAACGCCUUCUCUCCCCGCCGCGGAGGGCGUUCCCUGCCCGCGUUCCGUUUGCCCGCAAACAAGCGGCCGUGACACGAACGUUGCGGGAAGCCGCGGGAGUGAGCGCGGGGAGCGUCGUUCCCCCGCCCGGGGCCGCUCCGCCUGCGAGCGAGGGCGGCAGGUGCGAUGCGGGCGCGUCUGCUCGCGGGCGGCGCCGGGGGAGGCUCUGGCCGACGGUGUCCUUGAAAUUAUCUGGAACACCAAGGGGAAAAAAAAAAAUACCCCUGUGAUUUACUUAGAGGCAGAAAUCUAAAAAUGUCGCAGCAGCGUCUGGAGUGCAGGGCUGGGCUGUGGAGCGGGUCCCGUGUGUGCAGCGGCUCGGGCGGCAGCAAAGGGGGCAGGUUCUGAGACGCGAGGCUGGGCACGGCUCGUGUGACGUUCCUUUAUUUUGCUGCCCUGCCGUAACAUGCGGUGAAUGAUGAGUGACGGCAGCGAAAUCCGUGAGACCGUGUGCAGCCCAGGCAGGAGAACGGAACGCAUGCAGGAGCCGGACUGCAUGAGCCCCUAACAACACACGGUCCCGGACGUGUGUGCUGCAGGGAUGUCCCCGCGUUUCAUUGCGCCAAUUGGUCUGCCGCCUUGGGUGUAAUGGAAAUGAGGCAUCAUUUAUUUACAACUUGGUUGAUUCAUGGCAAGGGGAAAAAGAAAAACAGAACUAGAAUAAGUACCUUUGUGAAAGAAAUAUACAAAGGAUAUCCCAGAUCAGACUCUUGAGCGCUUCCAGGUGAAAUACAUUAUAAAAGUGUUAUGUAUUAAUACAUAUAGUCAGGUUCCUGCUUGAUAGAGGUUCUUCUGAGGAAUAAAUGGCUUGCUUUUUAAAGAAACAAGUAAGAAAGCCUGAAAGUAUCUGAAUUUGACAGCAGUAGAAGCUAUCAAGAAUGUCUUGACAGACCAAUCUUGCUAUAGCUUCCUAGAUUGAACCUUUAUUUUAUAAUUAAUCUUUCCAGAUUUAUGAUACCACAUAACAAUUUUUCCUAUGUUAUAAAAAUUUUAUUUAUUUUAUAAACCAACAUAAUCUAUUUGUACUUUCUUUGGAGUUGCUCUUCACCAUUAAAACUUCAUAUGUAACAUAUGGGAUUAUGAAGAGGGUUAUUGCAUUGCACAGCAAGAUCUCAUCUUGUGAACAGAUGAGACAAACAGAGAAUUGUGCAGACUGUCACUGCCUUCUGUGCUAUUCCAUCCACAUCAGCAGGAUCACCAUCUAAGUGUAACUUUUGCCUAGAUGUCUGCAACAUUACGUAUGUUCUGUGAUUUAAGUUUUCAUGAGAUCAAAGUACACAAAAUCAUAGGUCCUAUUGAGCAUAUGGGAAAAGGGUGGGCCAGGUUGUAAUCCCAAUUAAAUUUAACUUUCAGGUUUCUACUAACUUCAGUGAGGACAGUGUUUUACUACCAGUGAAGGGAACAGGAGAGCUGCUGAUACAGAAACCUCACCUGAACUAGAGAAGCGGCAGCAGUUGUAUGCUUUAUAUGCACUUCUGUAACCCAGAACUUUUCUUGACAAGAUUGAAUGGUCAGCAGAACUCAUGGAUCCAAGCAAUAUGUACCUCUAAAGGUGGACAGACAGAGCUUAAAACUGUUCAAACAUGGAGCAACAUGUUCUCUGGUCUGUCACUUCUUCCUCCAUGAGCUCUAAUCCAGCUCCAAUCUUACCGAGCCUCCCUCCAAGCCUUUGCAGCUCACCAGCAGUCCACAUGGAACAGCAGCAGUGGGUUAUAUCUAGUUUGCCCUGCUGUUUGCCCUGUUCUCUUUUACAAACAAGUAUAAGAAAACCAGGUCUCUGGAUUUAACUCUUUUCUUUCAUGUAACUACCCAGCUAAAUGAUCUUGCACUGCCACAGUCAGACACACUCUUAAAAACAAUAGUGAGCUGAAGAACUGAGCACUGUAUUCAAGUGAAGAGACUCUUCAAUUCUCAGAUGCAAGAAAAAUGGAUGAGGUAACUUUAUUUUGUCACAUUAAUGGAGCAGAAAGGCAUGUGUUAAUGUGCUAGCAUUCUAUUAAAUAGAGGUAUUAUAACUCCAACUAUUGCUUACAAGAUAGAAAUGAAAAGUAUGGAUCUUUUCACCUAUUAUAAUACUAUGUAUUUAUUAGUGCAACCUUUGGUACAUUGUCUAUGUAUUUGGUCUGUAAUCUCAAGCAGUAAAUGAACUUUAUAAACUAGCAAACAUCAAACUGAAUGAGACUGAUACAAACCAUCUUUACAGGUGAGGGUUGCUCUCACUUGACUAUUCCAAAAACAACACACAAAAUAUUCAAGUGUCUAAACACCACCAUAGAUAUCUUACCAUAUCCACUCUUCUAGAACUUCUGCCAUCAGUUUUGCAUACCUUUGCAGUCAUGCCACACGCCUGGAUGCAAGUUAGCCCUGACCAACUUCCAAAUAAUCCACAAAUAAUCCACAACUAAUUACAAGAAACUCUUAAAGAAAAAUAAACCAAGAUGGGGGGGAAGAAAAAAAAAAAAAGGAGCUUUGGAAGUAGUGAAAACAAAAAUGAUUAUAAUAGCCUUUAAAAUACCUUCAAUGUGCUCCCUUAUGAAGGGAUCGUCCAUGAUGUUGCUGUGAUUUGUUUUUAGAAUCUUCUCAAAUUCAGUGAUGUCAUUAUUCUGAUAGGCACUUCAGAAAAAACCAAGGGAUUGAAUUUUAAUUUUAAAAGUAAAACAGACUCAUAAGAUUAUGUUCCACAAUUUCUAAAAAAAUAUGUAUUAAGCACUGGAGGAAAAUAUUUAUAUUCAGAACCUUUAUAAGCAGAAACUCGAUUUGAAGAUUAAAUGCAACAGAAAUUACCUUUCUCCUGUUUCAAUUUUAGCAGUAUUUACUGAAGUUUAGUAUGAACAUUUAGUUGUUCCACAAUUGCACUCUAGUUUCAAAACUAUUAUACUUUAAGAAGCUAUUCUUAAAUACCCUGUUUUGAAAAGUAUCAUUACAUGAAUUUUGGCUUCAUGAAGUCAUACUUUAUGGAACAAAUAAGAGCUAAAAAGAGUCUACAAGGCUGUUGCUGUCUCUACAGUAUUCAGCUUAAGCUGAAUGCUGAAAAUACUGAAAGAAAUAAGGACUUCCAGGAUUAUUAAUCAGUCAUUUUUGUAUAAUGUUACUUUUUAGAUUUUUAUUUAUUGGUUAUUUGUGUAUAUAACCUUUCAUGGGUCAAUCCUGUCAUCUGAGAAAGCAUUGCAAGAAGAAGGUGCCACCAGAGGCAUCAUUUACAGGUCAGGAGCUGCAACCUCUGAAGAAAGGCCUAUUUCUUGAAAAACAUUCUUUCAAAACAAAACUUUCAACUCCUGUUUAAUACCAACAUCAAACAUUUUAAAAACAACAUCUAUUUGUCCUUCAUAUUCUGUACAUUUAAAGAUUGUUUUGAAACUGGUAAAAAAAGAAAUUCAUCUGUUAUUAAAAUGGCCAAGAAAAAGACCUGUUAAGUUUAAGGUAGAACUUGAGCAGCUUAUAAAUAGCUAUGUGAGUGGCAUGGACUGUAUCACAUGAAACCAGUAAUUUUUACUUAAAAAUAAAAGGAAUUUCAGUUCAGUAUA